rnacentral:rRNA from 1 species
CUACGGGUCGCAGCAGUGGGGAAUAUUGCACAAUGGAGGAAACUCUGAUGCAGCAACGCCGCGUGGAGGAUGACACAUUUCGGUGCGUAAACUCCUUUUAUUAGGGAAGAUAAUGACGGUACCUAAUGAAUAAGCACCGGCUAACUCCGUGCCAGCAGCCGCGGUAAUACGGAGGGUGCAAGCGUUACUCGGAAUCACUGGGCGUAAAGCGCGCGCAGGCGGCCUUUUAAGUUGGAUGUGAAAGCCUACGGCUCAACCGUAGAACUGCAUCCAAAACUAUUGGGCUAGAGUGUGGGAGAGGAAGAUGGAAUUAGUUGUGGAGGGGUAAAAUCCGUAGAGAUAACUAGGAAUACCAAAAGCGAAGGCAAUCUUCUGGAACACUACUGACGCUGAGGCGCGAAAGCGUGGGGAGCAAACAGGAUUAGAUACCCUUGUAGUC